rnacentral:misc_RNA from 1 species
GAUGAAGAACGUAGUGAAAUGCGAUACUUGGUGUGAAUUGCAGAAUCCCGUGAACCAUCGAGUUUUUGAACGCAAGUUGCGCCCGAAGCCUUUUGGCCGAGGGCACGUCUGCCUGGGCGUCACGCAUCGCGUCGCCCCCCACAAUUCUCCGUAAAGGGAACAUGUGUUUUGGGGGCGGAUAUUGGUCUCCCGUGCUCAUGGCGUGGUUGGCCGAAAUAGGAGUCCUUUCGAUGGACGCACGAACUAGUGGUGGUCGUAAAAACCCUCCUCUUUUGUUUCGUGCUGUUGGUCGCAAGGUAAACUCUUUAAAAACCCCAAUGUGUCGUCUCUUGACGACGCUUCGACCGCGACCCCAGGUCAGGCGGGACUACCCGCUGAGUUUAAGCAUAUCAAUAAGCGGAGGA